GACAGCAGUCGCCGCGGUAAUACAGAGGGUGCAAGCGUUAAUCGGAAUUACUGGGCGUAAAGCGCGCGUAGGUGGUUUGUUAAGUUGGAUGUGAAAUCCCCGGGCUCAACCUGGGAACUGCAUCCAAAACUGGCAAGCUAGAGUAUGGUAGAGGGUGGUGGAAUUUCCUGUGUAGCGGUGAAAUGCGUAGAUAUAGGAAGGAACACCAGUGGCGAAGGCGACCACCUGGACUGAUACUGACACUGAGGUGCGAAAGCGUGGGGAGCAAACAGGAUUAGAUACCCGAGUAGUCCCUGUCUCUUAUAC
rnacentral:rRNA from 1 species